UACAAUAGCAGGUGGAUUUAGUUUAGCAGAUAGUGCGGAGCUUAGGUUUGCCUAUCAUCCAUUGUUCUCAACUAAGGAAGGUAAUUUGUUAAGCCUAAUUUCGUUGGUACGUGGAUACCCCAAGUAGUGCAGGAAACACUGAAUUCUUUGAAGCGCACUAAUAAACGGAAGCUAUCAAAUCUCAG